rnacentral:ncRNA from 1 species
CCAAUCUGGUGCCGGGAAACCGGGUAAAAGGGAAAGCGUAUGCCGCUACAGCCCACCGCUGCCGUGUGACGGAGCGCCUGCGCCGGACGGGAAACCGUCCGGAAGCUUGCGGGAAACCGCAAAAGGCCACUGGCGAAAGCCGGGAAGGUACGCAGGAUGUGAUGAAGUCAAGUCGGAAAACCUGCCGGAUUG